AGGAUCAUUACUGAAGCAGUUAGGGUUGUAGCUGACUCUGUCAAAGGAGUACUGUGCUCGCUCUAUUCUACUACUUUUCCCCCUGUGCACCUUUUGUAGGCUAUGAUAUCCAUCGUGUGUGAGCUCCGUCUCAUUACCGGUUUCAAGGGAUUGCUGUUAUGGCUCCCCUUGCCCUUCAUAUGCCUAUGUCUUUAUACACUCUUUUAAACAAGUCUAGAAUGUCUUUUGUGGGUCUAUUGACCUAUAAACUUUAAUACAACUUUCAACAACGGAUCUCUUGGCUCUCGCAUCGAUGAAGAACGCAGCGAAAUGCGAUAAGUAAUGUGAAUUGCAGAAUUCAGUGAAUCAUCGAAUCUUUGAACGCACCUUGCGCCCUUUGGUAUUCCGAAGGGCAUGCCUGUUUGAGUGUCAUUAAAUUCUCAAACCUUGAUCAGUUUUGCGCUGACUCAAGGCUUUGGAUGUGGGAGUCUUUUGCUGGAACUCUUUUGGAUCAGCUCUCCUUAAAUGCAUUAGCGGUUACUUGAUCCCGUUUCCUUGGUGUGAUAAUUAUCUACGCCUUUGAAAUGAUCAGCAUUUGUAUCAGCUUCUAACCGUCCAUUGACUUGGACAACUUAAUUGACCAUUUGAC
rnacentral:rRNA from 1 species